rfam:Gossypium arboreum cultivar AKA8401 contig_12097_1, whole genome shotgun sequence.
AUGCCAUGAUGAGGGCACUUUUGCAGUAACUCUUUGAAUCACUCCUAUGCCUCAUAUAAAGAUUCUUUGUCAAGUUGCUGAAAUGAAGUGAUUUCAUUUCGGACCUU